UGAGCGGCGGACGGGUGAGUAACGCGUGGGUAACCUGCCUUACACUGGGGGAUAACAGUUAGAAAUGACUGCUAAUACCGCAUAAGCGCACAGGGCCGCAUGGUCUGGUGUGAAAAACUCCGGUGGUGUAAGAUGGACCCGCGUCUGAUUAGGUAGUUGGUGGGGUAACGGCCCACCAAGCCGACGAUCAGUAGCCGACCUGAGAGGGUGACCGGCCACAUUGGGACUGAGACACGGUCCAGACUCCUACGGGAGGCAGCAUG
rnacentral:rRNA from 1 species